rnacentral:lncRNA from 1 species
UUUGACCAGGGCCCAUUUGGGACGGAGCCCCCUAACGCCUGUCUCCCCUAUGGUGUCCAGAGGAAAGACUUCCCUAAGGGGAUCAGACGCACUCCGCUUCACUGUCUGAUCUUACAAGGCCCAGGGUGAGUUCCUCCCUGUCUGAUCUUACAAGGCCCAGGGUGAGUUACUCCCUGUCUGAUCUUACAAGGCCCAGGGUGAGUUACUCCCUGUCUGAUCUUACAAGGCCCAGGGUGAGUUCCUCACUGUCUGAUCUUACAAGGCCCAGGGUGAGUUCCUCCC